rnacentral:rRNA from 1 species
GACGAACGCUGGCGGCGUGCCUAACACAUGCAAGUCGAACGGAGUUGUUCCUUCGGGGACAGCUUAGUGGCGAACGGGUGAGUAACGCGUGAGGAACCUGCCUCUCAGUGGGGGACAACAGUUGGAAACGACUGCUAAUACCGCAUAAUGUUUUCGGACCGCAUGAUCUGAAAACCAAAGCUUUAUGUGCUGAGAGAUGGCCUCGCGUCUGAUUAGCUAGUUGGUGGGGUAACGGCCCACCAAGGCGACGAUGCGUAGCCGACCUGAGAGGGUGAUCGGCCACACUGGGACUGAGACACGGCCCAAACUCCUACGGGAGGCAGCAGUGGGGAAUAUUGGGCAAUGGGCGCAAGCCUGACCCAGCAACGCCGCGUGAAGGAAGAAGGUCUUCGGGUCGUAAACUUCUAUCCUUGGUGAAGAUAAUGACGGUAGCCAAGAAGGAAGCCCCGGCUAACUACGUG